rnacentral:rRNA from 1 species
CACGUAGUUAGCCGGGGCUUCUUAGUCAGGUACCGUCAUUUUCUUCCCUGCUGAUAGAGCUUUACGUACCGAAAUACUUCUUCACUCACGCGGCGUCGCUGCAUCAGGGUUUCCCCCAUUGUGCAAUAUUCCCCACUGCUGCCUCCCGUAGGAGUUUGGGCCGUGUCUCAGUCCCAAUGUGGCCGUUCACCCUCUCAGGCCGGCUACUGAUCGUCGCCUUGGUGGGCCUUUACCCCGCCAACCAGCUAAUCAGACGCGGAUCCAUCGUAUACCACCGGAGUUUUUCACACUGCUUCAUGCGAAGCUGUGCGCUUAUGCGGUAUUAGCACCUAUUUCUAAGUGUUAUCCCCCAGUAUACGGCAGGUUCUCCACGCGUUACUCACCCGUCCGCCACUAACUCAUAUAUCACUAGGUUUCAAUAUGAGUCCGUUCGACUUGCAUGUGUUAAGCACGCCGCCAGCGUUCAUCCUGAGCCAGGAUCAAACUCU